ensembl:lncRNA
CAGGAGGCGACGGCCCGAGCGGCAAGAGUCAGUCGAUCAAUCAGAGGAGGCUGCGCGGCGGCGGCGGCCAGAACGGCAGGAGUCAGCGGAGCACGAGGCGGCACAUAGCCUUACCCUGGGCCGCUACGAGCAGAUGGAGCGGCGGCGCGAGCGGCGUGAGCGGCGCUUGGAGCGGCAGGAGUCCAGCGAACAGGAGAUGCCCAUCAGAGGAGACCUGGUCAAGGGGAAGGCCACUCUGGCUGACAUUGUGGAACAGCUGCAGGAGAAAGAGGCAGGCCCAGGGCUGCCUGCUGGGCCCCCGCGCCUCCGCCACCGCCCACUCACACAGUGCAGCACGAGGGCUUCCUACUGCGCAAGCGCGAGCUCGACGCUAACCGCAAGUCGUCCAACCGGUCGUGGGUGAGCCUUUACUGUGUGCUUAGUAAGGGGGAACUGGGCUUCUACAAGGACUCCAAGGGCCCGGCAUCCGGGAGCACACACGGUGGGGAGCCGCUGCUCAGCCUGCACAAGGCCACCAGCGAGGUGGCUAGUGACUACAAGAAAAAGAAGCAUGUCUUCAAGCUCCAGACUCAGGAUGGCAGUGAGUUUCUGCUCCAGGCAAAAGAUGAGGAGGAGAUGAACGGCUGGCUGGAGGCUGUGGCAGCCUCAGUGGUGGAACACGCAGAGAUCGCCCGCUGGGGCCAGACACUACCCACUACUUCAUCCACAGAUGAGGGCAACCCUAAGAGGGAAGGCGGAGAUCGAAGGGCCAGCGGGCGCAGGAAGUGACUUCCACCCCCAGGGCUUGACACAUCUGUCUCCCCUCUUUUCCACACUGUGGGCACAAAGACACUUUUUCUUCCGCAGGGGCGGGAGCUCCUAGUUCCAACACUGAGGACGCGUGACAUGGUGGGCACCGGAAAGGAGGGGACUUCUCCGGCACCCCAAGAAGUGGUGGGGAGAUUGCUGCCCCUAUAGCCAUAUCUCGGCCCCUUCCCACUCACCACCCCCACCCCAGGUGCUGGGGCUCCCUUAUUUUUAUGCAAUAACUGAGCUUGAUGGGGGUGGGCAGGGGCCUAGUUGAGCCAAGCCCCCUGCCCCAUCUGCAGAUCCUGCCCCAAGAAGCUGGGGUGGUGGGGGCGGUAAUUCCUGCCCCCCCUCUCUGCCCUAGGGAUGGGCACGGGGGCGCUGGUGAGGUCCCCUGGACCAUCCAGGGUGCUAGGGGGUAGGGAGGGGACACCCCCUCCCCGCCUUUACCUCACUUCCAAUGCUGCCUUGAUCUCUGUCUGGGAGGGGGGAGUGAAGGGGCCCUAGCCCCUGCACUCCACCGCCUCAGAGCCAUGCGGUUAAUUCCUGACUUAGUUUAUUUUUGCAAAACGUCGAUCUCCUCCUCCCCCGCCCCGCAUCUGCGAAGGCUUUUAAUGGGAGGGGCGUCAAAGCUCAAAACUGCCUUCCUCUCUCCUCCCCCCUCCAGUUGUAAAUGCCACUUCAUGAGGGGAGGGGUGAGGGGAAGCCCUCCCCCUGCAUGCUUCUGGCUGGAGCACCUCCCUGGGGAGUGGGGGGAUUGGGUUGUGGGCAGUCCCCAUGGCCGCCUGGAGAAGCCGCUGGUGCCCGGGGGUGUGGGGCGGUGUGGCGGGCGCACACUGUAUGUACCUAUAAUAAACCAUUUGGCUUUGACGGUC